UAAGACGAACUCAACAGUUGUGUUUAUUGCUACGCCAGUCACGUGGCUAUAAACGCUGUUGUCGAUCAGUUGAAAAGUUGAGAAAGUUAGGGUGUGCGAGCAGCAUGAAAGAACGUUGCGAAGAGGAAGCUAAUAUCCGACAGUUAUUUCACCAUGGUAAAGUCAUGAUAUGACUGCACAGGAGUGGAAAGAGAAGGGUAAUGAAGAAUUUAACAAAGGC